GAUGAACGCUAGCGGCAGGCUUAAUACAUGCAAGUCGAGGGGCAGCGCGGUAGCAAUACCUGGCGGCGACCGGCGCACGGGUGCGUAACACGUAUGCAACCUACCUUAAACUGGGGAAUAGCCCCUCGAAAGAGGGAUUAAUGCCCCAUAACACUGUGAAGAGGCAUCUUUUACAUUUAAAGCUCCGGCGGUUUAAGAUGGGCAUGCGCGACAUUAGCUAGUUGGUGAGGUAACGGCUCACCAAGGCUGUGAUGUCUAGGGGUUCUGAGAGGAAAAUCCCCCACACUGGUACUGAGACACGGACCAGACUCCUACGGGAGGCAGCAGUGGGGAAUAUUGGGCAAUGGGCGAAAGCCUUACCCAGCAAUGCCGCGUGUGUGAAGAAGGUCUUCGGAUUGUAAAGCACUAUAUUGGGGAAGAACACAAUGACGGUACCCAAGAGAAAAAGCCCCGGCUAACUAUGUG
rnacentral:rRNA from 1 species